rnacentral:rRNA from 1 species
UACGUAGGUGGCAAGCGUUGUCCGGAUUUACUGGGCGUAAAGAGCGCGCAGGCGGUUGGGUAAGUCGAAUGUGAAAGCCCCCGGCUCAACUGGGGAGGGUCAUUCGAUACUGUCCGACUCGAAGGCAGGAGAGGGAAGCGGAAUUCCCGGUGUAGUGGUGAAAUGCGUAGAUAUCGGGAGGAACACCAGUGGCGAAGGCGGCUUUCUGGCCUGUUCUUGACGCUGAGGCGCGAAAGCCAGGGGAGCAAAGCGGG